CCAGCAGCCGCGGUAAUUCCAGCUCCAA
rnacentral:ncRNA from 4 species